rnacentral:lncRNA from 1 species
CACUAUCAUGUGUCUUUGAAAGCUUCCAAGAUGAUAAAAUGCUUUCCCACAUUGCUUACAUUCAUAGGAUUGUUCUCCAGUGUGAGUCCUUUCAUACAGUUGAGUGUAACAGGAACAACUGAAGGCUUUCCCACAUUGUUUACAUUGAUAGGGUUUCUCUCCACUGUGUGUUCUUUCAUGUCUUAGAGUGGAACUAUAAGCAGGAAACGCUGUAGAACACUGCUCAUAUUCAUAUGGUUUCUCUUCAGUGUGAGUUCUUCUAAGCAUAUGAAAUAAACUAGGCCAAAUAAAGGCGUUUCCACACAACUUACAUAUACGAGGUCCAUCUCCAUGGUGUGCUGCCAUGUGUCUUUGAAGGUUUUCAAGAGAACUGAAGCUUGCACAUUCCUUACAAUCAUAGAGUUUCUUUCCAUGCUGAGGUCUUUCAUGUAUUUGAAAGCAGGGCUGAUAACUGAAAGCUGUCCCACAUUGUGUAUGUGUAUAUGGCUUCUCUCCAUAUUCUUGAUACUCAUAUGGUUUGUGUUCACUGUCAACUCUAAUGUAGCAAUUAAGAGAUGAACGACCCAUGAGGACGUCUGUACACUCACUGCUUUCCCAUGGAUCUACUCCAGUGGGUCUGCAGUUCUUGUCAUGACAAAGUCCUACUACCUAUUGUGCAAAAGAGAGUUACCAGCAAGAAGGCUCUCACCAGAUGCCCAGCCUUGAUGCUGGGCUUCCCACCCUCCAGAAGUGUAAAAAAUAAAUAUCAUUUCUUAUAAAUUACCCAGGUUAAAGUAUUCUGUUAUAAGCAACAAAAAACAGACUAAGCCAUGAA